CUAUGGGUGCUUGGGGUGUGAAAUGUCUUCAAAUGCUCCAAAAAACAGAGAGUCCCACACAUGGAACUGUUCAUUUAGAAGAGAGCUGAUAUUGUCACAAAGAGAGCUCAAAGGCAGGAUGAAGCUGAGGACAGCACGCUGAAAAUACUCUUCCUCACGUCCCAGCUGUGCAUUGCACGAGUGGAAAAGCAAGGGGCUGCUCACCAGAGGGCUUGCUUCCUUCAGAGCAAUGUUUGGUGAAGAGGAGGAGAGACAGCCAGCAAGACCUGCAUCCCCAUUGAGGCAACGAGCGCUUAAAACACGCACAGCCCCAGGCAAUGCCCUGCAGGCAGCUCUGCCCACAACCAGACAAGGCAAUGAGCAGCCAUGCCUACUGGUUCUGCCUUUUUCCAUAGUUCUCUGUGCCCAAAUCCCAUCAAAGGACUGGGAACUGUAACUGCAGCCUUGAGUAAAGUUGGUAACUCCCCCCAUGAAAAUAACAAAAACAGAAGUUUGAAAAAGAAUGGAAAUUAUCCUUCUUAUCAGAAUUGCCUUCAAACCCUCCAAAGGGUAAUUGGUAACGUUAAAAAUAAAGAAUUGAU
ensembl:lncRNA